UACAGAGGGGGCAAGCGUUGUUCGGAAUUACUGGGCGUAAAGGGCGCGUAGGCGGCCUUCUAAGUCGAACGUGAAAUCCCCGGGCUCAACCCGGGAACUGCGUCCGAUACUGGAAGGCUUGAAUCCGGGAGAGGGAUGCGGAAUUCCAGGUGUAGCAGUGAAAUGCGUAGAUAUCAGGAGGAACACCGAUGGCGAAGGCAGGUCUCUGGGCUGACACUGACGCUCAUGCACGAAAGCGUGGGGAGCAAACAGG
rnacentral:rRNA from 1 species